GGGCGCUUAGCUCAGUCGGUUCAGAGCGCCUGCCUUACAAGCAGGAGGUCACUGGUUCGAAUCCAGUAGCGCCCA
rnacentral:tRNA from 1 species